rnacentral:rRNA from 1 species
UGGGGAAUCUUGGACAAUGGGCGCAAGCCUGAUCCAGCCAUGCCGCGUGAGUGAAGAAGGCCUUCGGGUUGUAAAGCUCUUUUACCAGGGACGAUAAUGACGGUACCUGGAGAAUAAGCCCCGGCAAACUUCGUGCCAGCAGCCGCGGUAAUACGAAGGGGGCUAGCGUUGUUCGGAAUUACUGGGCGUAAAGCGCACGUAGGCGGAUUGUUAAGUCAGAGGUGAAAUCCCGGAGCUCAACUUCGGAACUGCCUUUGAUACUGGCAAUCUCGAGUCCGGAAGAGGUUAGUGGAAUUCCCAGUGUAGAGGUGAAAUUCGUAGAUAUUGGGAAGAACACCAGUGGCGAAGGCGGCUAACUGGUCCGGUACUGACGCUGAGGUGCGAAAGCGUGGGGAGCAAACAGGAUUAGAUACCCCCGUAGUCCCUGAGCGGGCUGGCAAGGCGCAU